CGACGCAUUGAUGCACCAUGAUUGGGGACCCAAUGAAUUUUGUGCACACUGGACAUUGGCUCGGGUGAUGUGCAAAUGGGAAACAACCAGCUGGUGCAAUGCAGCGCAAAAAAGAGCAAAGGGGGCUAGAACAAGCCUGCCGACAAUCACAUGUUGACGGUUGUGCCGUCAGAGAUCAUAGAGAAUGUACACCUAGAGGAUGCAUUUGCCAGGUUCUUCCAAGCUAUCCUGAUACCAUCUCGUACUCCAUGCUGUUGUCUGCCAAUUCAGUUCUGGAGUGGUUAUUUUAAGUGUUAAGCAGAGAGUGGAAGACACAGAUCUUGCCAUUUAGGAGGUCUUAGUAUGUGCUACGUCUCAUGUCCAUGGUGCUCCUUUUAUUCAGGUCUUUUACCUUUCUCCAGGUGUCAGUGUCAUGCGUAUGAAGAUGAGUAUGUACCAGAGUGGUAGGACCUGUUAGUAAUCAAUACUUCCAACUGCAUUUACAACAGUUUUGAGUGUAAGGCUUCUGAUGAUGGCACUGCAUUUUUUAUAACCUUGUAGAUUGUCAAUUUUGUAAACAGUGCAUUUAUUUCCUGUUAAAAGUCCUUUCAUAGAACCUCAUGCUCAAAUUUUUGGAUGAAUAUACUAAAUGUCAAGAGAUGUGAUGUUGAGUGUUGUUAGGAGAGAACACGUCAGUAGAGGUACAAAAACUGUUAUUUAAUAAAUGGUGGUCCAUUGUGAAUGGACUGUAUGCACAAUUCCUAUCUGCACAAGUGAAAAACUUAGAAUUUUAAAAUUUUCUUUUAAUGUCAUUUUUAAAAUCUCUCUCUAUUCCCCAUUCCUGUACAUGCAGUGAGACCUUCUAGAAAAUCGUGGCACAAGAUUUUACCGAAAUUUAAUUUUAGUGCUCGUUAGAUUCUCAUACCAUAAAUUGAUUUAAGACUCGUUCAUUAUUUCUGCUGCAUUGUUUUAAAACCCUACUUUGCUAAUGUCUUUCUUUGGAGUGUGUCAUAUGUUAUGUAACUCCACCUACUAUAGUCUUCUUUGGGCAAUUACAUUGGUUUUUUUAUAUAAAGCUUUGGGGCUUCACAUUAAGGAGAUGGUAUUAUUUAGUUGCUAAGGGAGGGCACUGUUUCAUGAUAUUUUUUGUACAAAUAGUGAAUGAAUGUGCGAAUGCAAGUAGCAUUCAUUUUUUUUUUUUUUUUUUUUUUAUCUUU